ACCAAAAACCGGUAUGUGCGUAUGUUUGUGUGCAGUCACCCUUGCAUACAAGCCAGGGUGCACACAUGACAGUCAGAGAAUAACUCAGUGUCUGUCCCCAAUUUCUGCCUUGUCUCUAAGACAAAGUCUCUUGUUAGUUGCUGUGUAAGCCAGGCUUGCAAGCCUAUGAACUUCCUAGGAAUCUCCUGUCCCUCAUUUCUACACUGCUGUACAUAGUUUAGGGGAUGUCUGUCUGCCUGUCUGUGUCUAUCUAUUUGAUUUUUGAGAUAGAAUUGAUCUAUCUAUCCACCUGUUUGGUUGUCUGGUUGUUUUUUCUUCUUUGACAUUAGAAAUGUGAUCUUGAGUCCAUCUGAAGUGUGGGAUUGUAAUUUCUGACGAUUGGCCUUUGAAAUUUAUAUACCACUACAGCUGGCUAAGUUUGGAGCUCAAGGGAGCUUUUGGUGCAGUUCAAACAAGGCCUAGUGAGCUCCUUGCUGAGCCAUCUUGAAAACACCCGUCUUGUUGACUUGUUGGGCACAGGCUUCUGGAGCCUUCCACGCUGGCCUCACCCAGCUUGUCUGUCUCAGCGGAGUUGUGUUCUUUAAUUUUAUUUUUAUUUUAAAUGAAAAGUUUGCGUAAAUGUCAUAGUCUUAAGAUUUCUUCCUCUUAUGGAUUUAAUUGUGUACACACAUAAGAUUUCGUAUAUGCUGCAUAUAGAGAGCAAGAGGAUCUUCUGGUCGGAGGCAUUGUGCAAGUGCACAUUUAGCUGCUGGUUUUAAGACUAUUGAAGACCUAGAUAGUCAACACCUUCCACAUUGUAGAGUGGCCAGAGAGCCUUUAACCUAUGUCCCACAGAGUAAGACCUGGGCUCCCUGUACUACGGAGGCUCUGUUCCUGAUUAUAGGAUUGAAAACCAUGGCUUAUUUUUCUCAGUGAGUUUAUUUUGCCAAUCAAGUAUAAAAUAUUGCCUUUAGCUGUAGAAUAACCCAGUAGCCUCUUUCUGCUUGCCUUUCAAAUGUGUGAGCAAGUGCAAGUGCAUACUCCUGCAGGCGGUGCUCGUGGAGGUGUGACUGUCCUAGACUCCUGCAGGCGGUGCUCGUGGAGGUGUGUGACUGUCCUAGACUCCUGCAAGCGGUGCUCGUGGAGGUGUGUGACUGUCCUAGACUCCUGCAGGAGGUGCUCGUGGAGGUGUGACUGUCCUAGACUCCUGCAGGCGGUGCUCGUGGAGGUGUGUGACUGUCCUAGACUCCUGCAGGCGGUGCUCAUGGAGGUGUGUGACUGUCCUAGACUUCCUGGCUGCUAUUGGCUUUCUUUUCAUCUGUUAGUGAGUCACCAUCACAUGCUAUUUUAUUAUCUCGCAAACAGUCUCUGGAAUUUUUUACCCUCUGUUUUUGCAGUGUGAAUGGAAAACCACUGAGGUUGUUCUGAACAACAUUCAAAUGAAGACUUUCUUCAGGGACACUUUAGUUAUUUAGUUUUGCCUUUGCUGUUGUCUCUUUGUUCCCAUGUAUAAGGUUUGGAUUGGGGGUGGGUGAGUUAAGAAUGAUGACUUUAUAUGUUUGAUUAUUUGAGAGGCCUAAGACAGACAUCCAGUUGCCUUGGUAUCUUGUUGAUGGUUCCCAACAUCAGGACUUGGUUCUGUUUGGGAAACAUGUCACUGAGGUGCUUUGAGCAGGUCAAUUUUUCUGGUCAUAGGUUCACAGGAGGGGAUAUCUAUUUGACUCAGGAAAGCCGCCUAGCUCCUGCUGCCUCCCCUGCUCCUUUCUUGGUUCUGUACUUCUGGGACUAACCAAGAAGUGGGAGGGAGGGCCUUGCUUCAAAAUAGCAGAAUUUCUUGCCCAUGUCUUCACUUGCAUGUGGUUCAUGAGAAAGACAAGAGACUUUUUGAUUUUUCGAGACAGGGUUUCUCUGUGUAGCCCUGGCUGUCCUGGAACUCAUUCUGUAGACCAGGCUGGCCUCAAACUCAGAAAUCUGCCUGCCUCUGCCUCCCAAGUGCUGGGAUUAAAGGGGUGCACCACCACUGCCUGGUGAGACUUCUUUCUGAUUAGUGGUUAAUUAUUUUAGGGCAGAAUGGCAAGGAGAAGAGUCCCCUUGUCCUCCCUGCCAGCCUACCCGUGAUCAGCAAGGGCUUCUUAACUUGUUUAGGGACUUCCCCAAACAGUGUUCUUCUGGCUUUUCGUUCACCUGCUUUCUUCUACACUCCAUUUCAGCACAUGUAACCUUUAAACCAAAAGUGUAUUGCUUAUAACAAGGACAAACCUCUUCUCUGCUUUUAUUUUGAAAAGUCCUCCCUGUUGUUAUGUGGAGGGUAUUCAGCUGAAAGCCUGUUCCAAGUAAGCGUUUGUGCAUCCCAGAGGAACUUUUGAUUUAUUUCCCUAACUCUGCCCUCCUUUCUCUGUGGUUCAGAAACCUUUAAUGAUCUGUGAAGCUUGGAGACUUCAGUGCAGAACAGUAGUGGUUUUAAGGACCCCUCCCACCAUAUAAAAGGCCUGCCAGGUUCCACAUGCUGGGUUUUGACUCCUUGAAAAACUAGCCUCUCACAGGUUUUUGGUUGUGUGGCAGGGCAUCCUGGGUUGGGGCCUUGAUAUGGCUUUUGUGAAACAUUUUUCCUCCUUUUCU